AGGACGAACGCUGGCGGCGUGCUUAACACAUGCAAGUCGAGCGGGCGUAGCAAUACGUCAGCGGCAGACGGGUGAGUAACGCGUGGGAACGUACCUUUUGGUUCGGAACAACCCAGGGAAACUUGGGCUAAUACCGGAUAAGCCCUUACGGGGAAAGAUUUAUCGCCGAAAGAUCGGCCCGCGUCUGAUUAGCUAGUUGGUGGGGUAAUGGCCCACCAAGGCGACGAUCAGUAGCUGGUCUGAGAGGAUGAUCAGCCACAUUGGGACUGAGACACGGCCCAAACUCCUACGGGAGGCAGCAGUGGGGAAUAUUGGACAAUGGGCGCAAGCCUGAUCCAGCCAUGCCGCGUGAGUGAUGAAGGCCCUAGGGUUGUAAAGCUCUUUUGUGCGGGAAGAUAAUGACGGUACCGCAAGAAUAAGCCCCGGCUAACUUCGCGCCAGCAGCCGC
rnacentral:rRNA from 1 species